AGAACGAACGCUGGCGGCAUGCCUAACACAUGCAAGUCGAACGAGACCUUCGGGUCUAGUGGCGCACGGGUGCGUAACGCGUGGGAAUCUGCCCUGGGGUACGGAAUAACAGUGAGAAAUUACUGCUAAUACCGUAUGAUGACGUAAGUCCAAAGAUUUAUCGCCCUGGGAUGAGCCCGCGUAGGAUUAGCUAGUUGGUGGGGUAAAGGCCUACCAAGGCGACGAUCCUUAGCUGGUCUGAGAGGAUGAUCAGCCACACUGGGACUGAGACACGGCCCAGACUCCUACGGGAGGCAGCAGUGGGGAAUAUUGGACAAUGGGCGAAAGCCUGAUCCAGCAAUGCCGCGUGAGUGAUGAAGGCCUUAGGGUUGUAAACCUCUUUCAGCAGGGACGAAGCGAAAGUGACGGUACCUGCAGAAGAAGCACCGGCCAACUACGUGCCAGCAGCCGC
rnacentral:rRNA from 1 species